rnacentral:rRNA from 1 species
UUUUAUCAGAGAGUUUGAUCCUGGCUCAGGAUGAACGCUGGCGGCGUGCUUAACACAUGCAAGUCGAACGGGAAACAUUUC